rnacentral:rRNA from 1 species
GAUCAUGGCUCAGGAUGAACGCUGGCGGCGCGCCUAACACAUGCAAGUCGAACGGCACCCCUCUCCGGAGGGAAGCGAGUGGCGAACGGCUGAGUAACACGUGGAGAACCUGCCCCCCUCCCCCCGGGAUAGCCGCCCGAAAGGACGGGUAAUACCGGAUACCCCCGGGCGCCGCAUGGCGCCCGGGCUAAAGCCCCGACGGGAGGGGGAUGGCUCCGCGGCCCAUCAGGUAGACGGCGGGGUGACGGCCCACCGUGCCGACAACGGGUAGCCGGGUUGAG